rnacentral:lncRNA from 1 species
AUGGCUCAGCCUUUCCAGUCUGUCGUGGUAGGCCCGUGUACCUUAAGAACACACAGAUGCGAUUCUGCUGCACACCCCCAGCCCCCUCAGGGGCCAUGCCGGGAUGCCCCCCAACGGGUACGAAGAAAUGCACCUUCAUGGGCUCCCGGCUGCAGAGCCGCCGAGGAAGGGGGGGAGAGCGGACGGGAUACUAGCCCGCAGCUGCUGCUCGUUACAACAGGCCGCCGGCCGGCGCCGCAGCUCGAAAAGAGCCGCCGCUGUCCGAGCUGGUGUCCCGCCAUCGCCUGGUUGUACCGGAAUGCGCCUUCUGCCGCCGCCGCCCUGUGGGGCAGCAGCCCCGGCAGGAGUCGGGCCCCGGCAGGCCCCCGCUACCGCCGCCGCCACUCCUGCCACAGACCGGCCGCUAGAGCGCGGGCCGGGCCCACGUGCGCGGCGGUGCCGGAAGCGACGCAGCGGCGCCGGGCGGGUGAGUGCUGGGGGCGGUGGAGGCUGCGGGAGCUACCGCUUCGGGAGGUCGCGGAGCCGGGCUGGGCCGUGCUGUCGCGCCUCCCCGUAGCCGAGCGCGGCGGUCCCGUGGGCGGGCCGCCGUGCGGCCGGGCCGUGCCUCGGCCAAACGCGAGUGCGGCCGCUGCCGGUUCUCCUCCCGCGGCUGGAGGGGUGGGAGCGGCCGCUGCCCGAGGAACGCUGGCUCUGUGCGGAGAAGCCGGAGUGACCGAAGCCCUAAACCCGCUGCAGUGCUGCCCGCCCCGGGAUGCAACCCUCCGCCCCGCAGUCCCCCCCCACCCCUUCCCCCAGCCCCGCCAACCUGGUGCGGGGGUUCCUGGAGGCCGCGGAGGAAUGAAACCGGUCUGGGCCCCGUCAGCAGCGGGCUGUUCGGUACGAGCUGCGCCGGCCUCGUUCUCUGGGGAUCUUGUGGGAGCAGAGCUGCUCCCUCUGGAGAUCUCUCGUUCCUUGCUCGUCUCUCGUGUCUACUCACAGGAUUUCUCCAUGCCCGAAGGAAAUAAACCCUCUUGA